rnacentral:lncRNA from 1 species
CACGCCUUUUGUCCGAUUCCCGGGAGGUCUUCCACCCCUAAACUGUCUAUUGGCCCAGUGUGAGAGGGCAGAGGUGGGCUUAGAGUGACCCUUGUACGCCAGGGGUGGGGUCACUAGCCCAACAAAAUGGGAAUACUGGAGCCGAAGCCUUGCCUCAGGCAAAGGAAAGUUUGAUUCCCCUUGGAGCACCGAUUCCAGUCUGGGACAGUUGGUUGUCAACCCCAGAACCAAGGCUCCUCUCCUUGGUGUUGAACGUUUAUCAAGUCACUUGCACACAUCACUGAGGGGGGAGGGGAGGCCCAAACCAAAGUCAGACAGAAAGUGGGGACAGCGCUCCCCAUCCCUGCAGCUGCCAAAGCCAGAAGGAGGAGAGGAGCCCCCCCGAGGGUGGCCGCCCCACAGUGGAGAGGAGGGGCAGAUGUCAGCCAGACGACAACGUCCCCAUGCACCACAGCACUGCUGCCCGGCCACCACUGCCUUCCGAGGCACUGCCCAGCAUCCUCCCUGGUCCUCGGGUAGGCGUGGCUCUCAGAAGAGCAGGGUGCUCAUGCUGCCCACCUCACUUGGCUCCUUGACGAAGAUCUCGAAGGACUGGGAGAUGUUGGUGACAGCCAACAGGAUCCCCAUCCCCAAGCCGAUGGCACCCAGGAAGGCAGCCAGGACCAAGAGGCCCCAAGGCACAGGCCCCCAGAGUGAGGGGACCGAGUGAGGGGACUCCUGGAGUACCAGGUGGUGGCCGCAGGGCCCUCAGUCCCCAAUGCCACCCAGGGUGCCCUGAGCUCCCCCAGCAGCUGGCCGGGCUGACACCAGCUGCCCCCCAAGCU